GACUCUCGGCAACGGAUAUCUAGGCUCUCGCAUCGAUGAAGAACGUAGCAAAAUGCGAUACUUGGUGUGAAUUGCAGAAUCCCGUGAAUCAUCGAGUCUUUGAACGCAAGUUGCGCCCGAAGCCACUCGGCCGAGGGCACGCCUGCCUGGGCGUCACGC
rnacentral:rRNA from 4 species